CUUCCGUUGGGCCUUUGUCUGCCUUGUGGUCAGAGUUGUUUUCCUGGAGGCGCUGAUACCGGACUUGGUGGAGAAGGAUGGUAUGAAUGUGUUUCUAGGUGGCUGCCUGGACAAGGGAGUUCAGCCUUUGGGAGAUAAAGCAGAAUAUAAAGUUCACAGAUCUAUGGAUAGCAGGAGCCACAUCUGGACCUGUGGCUCUGCUCUCAUCUCUGCAAUUUAGAAACCACCAUGAAUUAUCAAAAAUCCUAGACUCUGAUUUGAUGUUAUGAAUGGAUAAAACUUUUCUAUUUUCUCCAAUGGGAAGACAGAGAAUAUAUGUUGCUUGCAAGAAAGAAUAAAGCAAAUAUUUG
rnacentral:lncRNA from 1 species